rnacentral:rRNA from 1 species
CACGUAGGGCGCGAGCGUUGUCCGGAAUUAUUGGGCGUAAAGAGCUCGUAGGCGGCCUGUUGCGUCCGCUGUGAAAGCCCGGGGCUUAACCCCGGGUCUGCAGUGGAUACGGGCAGGCUAGAGGUAGGUAGGGGAGAAUGGAAUUCCCAGUGUAGCGGUGAAAUGCGCAGAUAUCGGGGGGAACACCGGUGGCGAAGGCGGUUCUCUGGGCCUUACCUGACGCUGAGGAGCGAAAGCGUGGGGAGCGAACAGG